GGGUAGAUGCGCAGAAUUGGUAUUGCAGCAGACUGUAAAUCUGUCGUCUUCGGACAUGUAGGUUCAAGUCCUACUCUACCCA
rnacentral:tRNA from 1 species